rnacentral:rRNA from 1 species
GACGAACGCUGGCGGCGUGCCUAAUACGUGCAAGUAGAACGCACAGUUUAUACCGUAGCUUGCUACACCAUAGACUGUGAGUUGCGAACGGGUGAGUAACGCGUAGGUAACCUGCCUGGUAGCGGGGGAUAACUAUUGGAAACGAUAGCUAAUACCGCAUAAUAUUAAUUAUUGCAUGAUAAUUAAUUGAAAGGUGCAAUUGCACCACUACCAGAUGGACCUGCGUUGUAUUAGCUAGUAGGUGAGGUAACGGCUCACCUAGGCGACGAUACAUAGCCGACCUGAGAGGGUGAUCGGCCACACUGGGACUGAGACACGGCCCAGACUCCUACGGGAGGCAGCAGGAGGGAAUCUUCGGCAAUGGACGAAAGUCUGACCGAGCAACGCCGCGUGAGUGAAGAAGGUUUUCGGAUCGUAAAGCUCUGUUGUAAGAGAAGAACGGGGGUGAGAGUGGAAAGUUCACACUGUGACGGUAUCUUACCAGAAAGGGACGGCUAACUACGUG